CUCAGGAGGCCCGUGCCCGUCCCUUCCUGACUCGUGUCCCCAGCUCCCACUGCAGUGACUGGCACAUAGUAGGUUCUGAACCACUUAGAAGGACUCGUUGGCUUUAUGGACUCCUCCAGAUGUUCUGAGGACUACGGCCCUGACUUGCCACUGCCGGAUGCAGGAUCCAUCUCCACCCCCGUCUCUGCGCCCUGCCCCGAGGAACAGGGCAGGCAACGGCAGCCAGAGACAGGAGCUGAUGACAGUACGGCAUGGAGUAGAGCCUACAAGGCUCCCUUAGAGCACCAACCUAUUGCGAUCAGACGGUGAUGGGCUGAGACCACAGUAGAAGUUUGGAGGGCAGCUGGUACGGAUGCUGAUAAAACCCUGAGUGCGGAGAGGAAGUACUCUACAUUCAAGCCAGCAGCACCCAGAUCUGAGCCUCGGAGCCCAGGCCACCACAACUACACCGGGCCACCCGCUGCCACCACCUUCCAAAUCCCCCAAUGAGAACCCAGUGGGAAAGAAACUUCUGGAACCCAUCAAUAGCCUUUCUUUGGAACCACUCUGCUGCCACAUAUUUCCCAGCCUUCAAAGACACAGAUGUCCUAUCUUGUCUGAUCGUUGGGGUGAGGACCCUGCCCUGUACCUGACCCACGAACUCAGUGCCCCGCACAGGUUGCAAAGGGGGUGUGUGGCAUCCACAUGAUCCAUACGCAGUACAAGGACAGAGGUCCUACCCCACUGGCAGAGAGACACAGGCGAUGCUCACCAAGUUCAGAAGAGAAAAAGGGAGCACUUCACAAGCUCAGGAGUUGAGUAGCGCCCAGCACGGCUUGGCUCCUGUCCUCUGUUACCGGUAAUUCAGAACACCAAGGGAUGGAUGUGGAAAGGUGGACGCUUCCAACUCGCAGGAAAAGGAAAUGACGGAGAAGAAUCUGAGUGCGUUCAAGAGACUUGGCUACGAGCAGACUCGCUACAGCACUGUCUGCAGAAUGACCAGCGAGGACACAGACUUCCAACUGGUUUCCAAGCAAAAGUGUACAUUUGUAUGAACUCAUGGUCUCUCUGUUCUGCAGACCACAGCCCCCCACUGCCGCUCCCACGAUGUUAUGCCACGGAUUGUUUUUUAAAAUGGAAAUUCUAGGGGUGCCUGGGUGGCUCAGUCGUUAAGCGUCUGCCUUCGGCUCAGGUCACGAUCCCAGGGUCCUGGGAUCGAGUCCCGCAUCGGGCUCCCUGCUCGGCGGGAAGCCUGCUUCUCCCUCUCCCACUCCCCCUGCUUGCGUUCCCUCUCUCGCUGUGUCUCUGUCAAAUAAAUAAAAUCUUAUAAAUAAUAAAUAAAUAAAUAUAAGUAAAUAAAA